rnacentral:lncRNA from 1 species
CUUCCAUGGUCUCCGUCAGCCGAUCGGCGACCUUCCUGACCACGGCGCUCAGCGUCAUUUUGCCGUUGAGGAGCAGCUCCUCCACCAGCAGCUCCCCGGUGUCGCCGUACAGCGCUUUGGCCGUGUAGAUGUAGCGCGGGUAGCGCAGGAUGCGCAGCACCCGCCGCCUCUCAGCCUCGUACUCCACGCAGCCGCGCUUCUGCAGCUGAUACGUGGCCAGGUUGUGCUGCAGGAGGACACACAGCGCCUUCCUCACCUGGUCCAGCGCCAUCCCGGUGUCAGCGCAGACGGCCCGCAGCGGUUGGCUGCCCGUUCUCACCAGGAACGUCCCCACCUUCUCCACGAUCUCCCCGAAGUGCUCUCGCAGCAGCAGAGAGCACAGCUUUAUCUCUGCCUGCGUCAUGGCGCCGGGGUUGG